CUGCACGUACGCAACCUCCACGUUGACGUGGUAGUCGAACCCCAUGUUUUUUAUACUGCGCGGCGCCACAGAAGAAGAAAAAAGAAAGUUUGGUGCUUC
rnacentral:ribozyme from 1 species